rfam:Salmo salar isolate Sally breed double haploid chromosome ssa16, whole genome shotgun sequence.
UGCAUUCACUACUGUAAGUCGCUCUGGAUAAGAGUGUCUGCUAAAUGCAACAAC